rnacentral:lncRNA from 1 species
UGGGUCGGGUCAAAAUAAGUUAGACCCACGUACCCCCAAAUCUUAAAUCCCAAAUGCUAAAAGCGUAAAACCUAAUUUCCAAACUCAGAAGUCAAAAACUUUCAAUCUCUCAUGCGAUUCUUCUUCCUCUUUGAACUGUUGCGAAUCUGCGAUUCUUCUUCCUCAAACCUUCUUCGAUUCUUCUUCCUCCAGUAAAUCCAGGUAAAUAUCUAAUAAGUACACAGUUCUCUUUUUUCUCUAAUAAUUUUCAUUCAUUUUGUCACGACCACUGGUCUUUUCCGGCCUAGUAAUGGUGUUUCACUGAUCAACAGACCUUUUUUGGAGAAGAAUUACCUUAGACCAGGUCUACCGGUCUUUAUUUGUCAG